rnacentral:rRNA from 1 species
UACGAAGGGGGCUAGCGUUGCUCGGAAUUACUGGGCGUAAAGCGCGCGUAGGCGGCUUUGUAAGUUAGAGGUGAAAGCCCGGGGCUCAACUCCGGAACUGCCUUUAAGACUGCAUCGCUUGAAUCCGGGAGAGGUGAGUGGAAUUCCGAGUGUAGCGGUGAAAUGCGCAGAUAUCAGGAGGAACACCAAUUGCGAAGGCAGCUCGCUGGGACGUAACUGACGCUGAGACGCGAAAGCGUGGGGAGCAAACAGG